AUUGAACGCUGGCGGCAGGCCUAACACAUGCAAGUCGAGCGGAUGAAGGGAGCUUGCUCCUGGAUUCAGCGGCGGACGGGUGAGUAAUGCCUAGGAAUCUGCCUGGUAGUGGGGGAUAACGUCCGGAAACGGGCGCUAAUACCGCAUACGUCCUGAGGGAGAAAGUGGGGGAUCUUCGGACCUCACGCUAUCAGAUGAGCCUAGGUCGGAUUAGCUAGUUGGUGGGGUAAAGGCCUACCAAGGCGACGAUCCGUAACUGGUCUGAGAGGAUGAUCAGUCACACUGGAACUGAGACACGGUCCAGACUCCUACGGGAGGCAGCAGUGGGGAAUAUUGGACAAUGGGCGAAAGCCUGAUCCAGCCAUGCCGCGUGUGUGAAGAAGGUCUUCGGAUUGUAAAGCAAUUUAAGUUGGGAGGAAGGGCAGUAAGUUAAUACCUUGCUGUUUUGACGUUACCAACAGAAUAAGCACCGGCUAACUUCGUG
rnacentral:rRNA from 1 species